rnacentral:lncRNA from 1 species
CUGUGGCCGGCGCGCGUGGGCCCCGGCGAGGCGGCACUGCAGGAGCUUUGCGGGCAGCUGGAGCGCUACCUGGGCGCGGCGGCCCACGGCUGUGGCUGCGCCACCGUGCGCGACGCUCUCUUCGCGGCUAACGGCCGCGCGGCCGACUGCGAGAGCCCGCGCGAGUUUCGGGAGCGGGCCCUGCGCGCCUGAUGGGUCGAGGCGGACGCGCGGCUGCGUCAGGUAAGCGAGGCCGGGCCGCCGGCGUUUGACCGCGCUUGGGUGGCCUGGGACCCGGUGGGAGGCUUCCCCGGCGCCGAGAGCCCUGGCUGACGGCUGAUGGGGAGGAGCCGGCGGGCGGAGAAGGCCACGGGCUCCCCAGUACCCUCACCUGCGCGGGAUCGCUGCGGGAAACCAGCGGGAGCUUCGGCAGGGCCUGCAGAGAGGACAAGCGAAGUUAGAGCCUAGUGUACUUGCCGCUGGGAGCUGGGCUAGGCCCCCAACCUUUGCCCUGAAGAUGCUGGCAGAGCAGGAUGUUGUAACGGGAAAUGCCAGAAAUACUGCAAGCAAAACUGAAAACAACCCAUCCAUGUAGGAAAGAAUAACACGGACUACACGUUAUUCAAGGACACCGAAAAGCCAACACCAUGGUAGCAUUAAUGAAAGUUUACCAAGAGGAAGAUGAAGCCUACCAGGAAUUAGUUACCGUGGCAACCACGUUCUUCCAGUACUUACUGCAGCCAUUUAGGGCUAUGCGAGAAGUUGCAACUUUAUAAGUCCUUGGAUGAGGAUGACCUAGGUCCUAGAAGGGUAGUUGCCCUGGAGAAAGAAGCUGAAGAAUGGACCAGACGGGCUGGAGAAGCUGUCGUCUCUAUUCAAGAUAUCACAGUGAAUUAUUUUAAGGAGACAGUAAAAGCAUUAGCAGGAAUGCAGAAAGAAAUGGAACAGGAUGUGAAGAGAUUUGGCCAGGCUGCCUGGGCCACAGCAAUUCCCAGGUUGGAAAAACUUAAGCUAAUGCUAGCUCAAGAGACUCUGCAACUCAUGAGAGCGAAAGAGUUAUGUUUAAAUCACAAAAGAGCUGAAAUUCAGGGAAAGAUGGAAGAUCUUCCAGAACAAGAAAAAAAUAUAAAUGUUGUAGAUGAAUUAGCAAUACAAUUUUAUGAAAUUCAGUUAGAACUAUAUGAAGUUAAAUUUGAGAUAUUAAAAAACAAAGAAAUACUGCUUACUACACAGUUGGACUCUCUUGAAAGACUUAUAAAAGAAAAACAGGAUGAAGUUGUCUAUUACGAUCCAUGUGAAAGUCCAGAGGAACUUAGUCAUUGACUGUGGUGGGGCUGCAGGACGAUAAGAAUUCGGAAGUGAAAGAACUCAGAAGGCAGUGCCAGCAGCUGGAGUCUAUUAAACGGGGCAGGAUCUGUGUCAAAAGAGCUUCUCUCCAGAGUAGAAAGGAUCAGUGCGAAGAAAAUCAUUGGCUCAGAUUGCAACAGGCUGAAGAAAGCAUAAGAUAUUCUCGUCAGCAUCACAGUAUUCAGAUGAAAAGAGACAAGAUAAAAAGGAGCAAAAGAAAAAAGAAUGGAUCAACCAAGAACGUCAAACACUCCAACAAUUGAGAGCAUUUAAAGAUGUAAGUUUUAUAAACAAUCACCUCAUCUACACUUCUGGGGAAAUAAAUGAAGACCGCUCUAAAGAGGAAAGUAUUAAGAACAGGUCAUUCAGAACAUGUAACAUUUAAAAAAUAACAUUAUUUCUGGUAUAUCAAUAAAAAGCAACAACAAAAAUAGAAUAUCAGUGAUUCAAAACCCAUGAUAUAAAAUAACUGCUGUUUUUGACAUCACAACACGCUUGGGUUCCUGCUCUGCACUCUUCACUGAGUAGUCCUUACUGGCACUGGUGGUUUAGAUUGGCAGGGAAAACUGAAAACUGUUCAACUCCCUUGACUUUAGCUGGCAUUUCCUCUCAUUUGUAAUAAACAAUUCUUUAAAAUGUUAUCCAGGCAGCAUUGUGAUAUAAGUGUAGUGAAAGUGCCCAGUUAAAAGUAAAAUGUGUUGUUUUUUUUUUUGAUAUCUACAACUUUCUUUUUUCUUUUAAAGUAUAUACUUAAGAGGAUGAUGUUAUUUUUUUAUGCCCUCUGUUCCAGGCCUACAUUUGUAUUUCCUCCACAAAAUGAUCCUCAGUCUGUAAUUUUUGUUCUAUUUGACUUUAUUAUUAGAGAUAAAUUCCUUUAAUUAAAAAAAAGCUACUAUGAAGGUUGAAAAA